CGGAAAGACCCCGUGAACCUUUACUAUAGCUUCACAGUGAACUUUGAGCCUACUUGUGUAGGAUAGGUGGGAGGCUUUGAAACCAGCACGCCAGUGUUGGUGGAGCCAUCCUUGAAAUACCACCCUGGUAUGUUUGAGGUUCUAACGCAGUCCUGUUAUCCAGGACGCGGACACUGUGUGGUGGGUAGUUUGACUGGGGCGGUCUCCUCCCAAAGAGUAACGGAGGAGCACGAAGGUGCGCUAAGCAUGGUCGGACAUCAUGCGGUUAGUGUAAUGGCAUAAGCGCGCUUAACUGCGAGACAGACACGUCGAGCAGGUACGAAAGUAGGUCAUAGUGAUCCGGUGGUUCUGUAUGGAAGGGCCAUCGCUCAACGGAUAAAAGGUACUCCGGGGAUAACAGGCUGAUCUCCCCCAAGAGCUCAUAUCGAC
rnacentral:rRNA from 1 species